CCCCAACUAGAUCAUCCCAGCCAGGGCUUUGUCAAGCUGGGCGUUAAAAACCUCCAAGGAUGGAGAUUCUAUGACCUCUCCAGGUAACUCAUUCCAGUACUUUACCAAAGAGGUCCUGCUGCCUGGUG